UGGUUAAAAAGCUCGUAGUUGGAUCUCGGCGGACUGAGGGCGGUUUGCUUGCUAGUAUUACUGCCCUAUAGUCCGUAGUUUUGCCAGAGGUUUCGGGGUGCUCUUAAUCGAGUGUCCCGGGAUGCUGGCAGGUUUACUUUGAAAAAAUUAGAGUGCUCAAAGCAGGCUAUUACGCCUGAAUAUUCGUGCAUGGAAUAAUAGAAUAGGAAGUCGUUUCUAUUUUGUUGGUUUUCGGAAAUCGACUUAAUGAUUAAUAGGGACAGUCGGGGGCAUUUGUAUUCAAACGACAGAGGUGAAAUUCUUGGACCGUUUGAAGACAAACUACAGCGAAAGCAUUUGCCAAGAAUGUUUUCAUUAAUCAAGAACGAAAGUUAAAGGUUCGAAGGCGAUUAGAUACCGCCCUAGUUUUAACCAUAAACGAUGCCAGCUAGCGAUCUGCGGACGUUUUUUUUGUAGACUCCGCAGGAAGCUUCCGGGAAACCAAAGCAUUUGGGUUCCAGGGGAAGUAUGGUUGCAAAGCUGAAACUUAAAGGAAUUGACGGAAGGGCACCACCAGGAGUGGAGCCUGUGGCUUAAUUUGACUCAACACGGGAAAUCUCACCAGGCCCGGACACU
rnacentral:rRNA from 1 species